ensembl:misc_RNA Metazoa_SRP Metazoan signal recognition particle RNA
GCUGGGUGCGGUGACUCACACCUGUAAUCUCAACACUUUGAGAGGCUGAGGUGGGUGGGUCACCUGAGGUCAGGAGUUCGAGACCAGCCUGACCAACAUGGUGAAAUCCCAUCUCUA